rnacentral:rRNA from 1 species
AUAGCCAUUGGAAACGAUGAUUAAUACUAGAUACUCCUUCUNCUAUNUAAUNUAGAGUAGGAAAAACUUGUUUGGCUAAGGGAUCGGCCUAUAUCGUAUCCCUCUAAUUGGUGAGGUAAUGGCUCACCAAGGCAAUGACACGUAGCGGGUUUGAGAGGAUGAUCCGCCACACUGGUACUGAGACACGGACCAGACUCCUACGGGAGGCAGCAGUGAGGAAUAUUGCACAAUGGGGGAAACCCUGAUGCAGCAACGCCGCGUGGAGGAUGACGCAUUUCGGUGUGUAAACUCCUUUUAUAUGUCAAGAAAAUGACGGUAGCAUAUGAAUAAGCACCGGCUAACUCCGUGCCAGCAGCCGCGGUAAUACGGAGGGUGCAAGCGUUAUUCGGAAUCACUGGGCGUAAAGGACGCGUAGGCGGGUUGCCAAGUCUGAUGUGAAAUCCUAUGGCUUAACCAUAGAACUGCAUUGGAAACUGGUGACCUAGAGUAUGGGAGGGGGAGAUGGAAUUAGUGGUGUAGGGGGUAAAAUCCGUAGAUAUCACUAGGAAUACCGAAAGCGAAGGCGAUCUCCUGGAACAUAACUGACGCUAAGGCGUGAAAGCGUGGGGAGCAAACAGGAUUAGAUACCCUGGUAGUCCACGCCCUAAACGAUGAACACUAGUCGUCGGGAUGCUAGUCAUCUCGGUGAUGCACUUAACAGAUUAAGUGUUCCGCCUGGGGAGUACGGUCGCAAGAUUAAAACUCAAAGGAAUAGACGGGGACCCGCACAAGUGGUGGAGCAUGUGGUUUAAUUCGAAGAUACGCGAAGAACCUUACCUAGCCUUGACAUUGAUUGAAUACUUUAGAGAUAGAGUAGUGCCCUUCGGGGAACAUGAAAACAGGUGCUGCACGGCUGUCGUCAGCUCGUGUCGUGAGAUGUUGGGUUAAGUCCCGCAACGAGCGCAACCCUCGUCCUUAGUUGCCAGCAGUUCGGCUGGGCACUUUAAGGAGACUGCCUUCGCAAGGAGGAGGAAGGUGAGGACGACGUCAAGUCAUCAUGGCCCUUAUGGCUAGGGCUACGCACGUGCUACAAUGGGGCGUACAGAGAGUUGCGAUACCGCGAGGUGGAGCCAAUCUCAUAAAGCGUCUCUCAGUUCGGAUUGAAGUCUGCAACUCGACUUCAUGAAGCUGGAAUCACUAGUAAUCGUAGAUCAGCAAUGCUACGGUGAAUACGUUCCCGGGUC